rnacentral:pre_miRNA from 1 species
GGGAUCCUCGGGGUCAGCCCGGAGGCCGGGACCCGGGUACCCGGGUCCCGGCCUCCAGGCUGACCCAGAGCAUCCU